CAUGCAUUAUUUUGUUUGGUCGCCUUUAAUGUGGUUCCCAUGUAAAUGCUGGAACAGAAAAAAAGAGGUAGAUAUGAGUGUGUGAGUGCAUUAAUCCAUCAUAGCGCCAGUGUCCCGUCAGAAGUAAUGAGCCAAGAGGUUAAGGAAGAAAGAGUUUAUGAUGAGACCGGCUUCUUACUGGAGGGAAUGCUAAACAAUUAACACAUUAAUAAAGACGAGUUGUUUCUGAAUGUUAUCUGCUCUCUUUGCACUUGAAACUCCUCGUGCAAAGUCAUUUGAGCAUCAGUUUCCUUUUCUCUUCUGGUCAGAGUUUAGUCCUGCUGUGGACCCUGCUGGAGUCUUCACCAUCUUUUGAGUUUUGGUCCAGCAAUCGGACACACCUGCCAAACCGCAGAAUAAAGGAUGAGCGGUCAGUGGGGACAACUCAUCUGGAGACAAACAAAUGCCUCCAGGAAUGGACUGAAAGAUUUCUGUAAUAAAACUAAAUACAAGUCCAAAAUCUUUAAGAUCUUUUGUUGUUAAAAUGAAAAAGUUUUAGGGUCAAAAAAGUUUUUCAAAAGAUACAGAAGAAAAUACAAGGCAGCUGUGUGUAGGAGUAGGAGGACUGCCGAGGCUAAAAGGGUUAUAAAUGUGUGUAUAUGAAGUUUCAUAGCUGUAAAUGGUAAAGAUGUUUGAAAUAGGAGAUACUGCAUAUCCCUAGGAAGGUAAACAACAAUUUAAGAGUGUCGACAAGCCAGAAAAAAAUCUCUUUUUUCUGUUAGAUCCAGUAUUUCUGAAAUAACCUGAACUUUAGGUUGAACUAUUUUUGCAGCAAAUUAUAAAAGAGGUUUAAUUCUAAUAUUUUCAUCCUCCAAAUAGCACAAUUUGAGCAAAAAUGUGGACCAGUGGUCAACGCAUUUUUAUCAUUAUCCGGGAAAUAGAUUUUAAAAACUGAACAAUGAACACCAAGCAUUUAUUCCUCACCCUGUGCCCUCACUAAAAGAACAUCAGCAUCCGUCUGUCUAUGUACGUAAUUCUGAGAAUCCUGGGAAUUUUCGGCUUCCGACUCAAUUCUCUCUCUUCCUGUAUUUGAAAAAUAAAGCCUAGGUUGCUAGGAAAUGAUCACUUUCCCUUUUCCAACAAAUUGUCCAAACAAUUUCGAGAGACCCGUUUACUUUAAAUAAUCAGAUUUCUGAGUACAACCCUGACCUUGUGUUAGAAGUAGCUCCAUUCAGACAAGCACACAGC